AAUUUUAAUUUUAAUUUACAAUGCCCUGUAUGGCAUUACUCUUACCAUCUUUCCCCGAAAAGACCACCGGGUGGGAGGGUAAGACUAUUAUACAAAAAAUUAAUACAUGGGUUAACAGUUCUUAUAGGCACUCUGAUGACAGACUUAAAAUUUGCACAGAAUUGGCAAUAGGUAAACUGUGCACAAAUGCUUUUUAGCUGUG